CCCACAAACACCAAGCACCACAAGCCAAGGAGAGAGUGUGGCUGGCUGGGGGUGAUGGGCAGUGCUCCUGCUCACAGGAAUGUUCAGCAGUCUCUGCAGGGCCAGGAAGAGCUGAAUGUAUGUCCCAAUACUCCUGUGACACAGAGAAGAGGAACUGCCCACCUAAUGACACAGCCCACAACCUCUGCUUAAAUUAAGGUGCUGAUGUUGCUCAGGUAAGCCAGUUGCCUUCUGCAGGUUCUGGCUGGAGCCAUUUUGUAGGCUGGACCAAGAUGUUGUUGUGCCUCUGUUAAACAGAAAGCAAAUGGGACUCUCCUCAGGUUGGUGUCAUGCUGCAGCAGUGUGUGUGUGAUAUAGAAAUCUAGAAUCUGUCGGUCUUUCCAUUUGGGGAUGUAAGAAAGACUAUCUGAUGUUUAUCCUACGUGUGUUUGCCAAAGUACUAACCUGAUUUUCUUCUUCUUUGUUGCUGUGUAAACAGCUGAGAACUCUCCAGAGCAAUACUGAAAUAAUUCACAGUUUUAUAAUUGGAUUUAAACUUCUAGAGAAAACAAGGCUGUCAAGUAACAAAAAGGAUACUUUUUACUACUUCUUCUGGAAAUCUUACUGCUAUCACGAACUGAACUCUUUUCCUCAAACAGCUGUUACUUGGAAUUUCCCAAAUGAAAAGAAGAGGUAGAUAUUUCAAUUACAAUGUUAUUAGCAAAGAAUGUAUUGGUUCCUUCAAAAAGGUCAGGAAUGCUCAGUGUUUUCUAGGUAUGUUGAAUUAGAACAGGAAGCAGGUUAUUAUUUAACUUGCUUUUUACUGAAGUGCAGGAAGAAACUCUUGGCAUUUUGACAGAAAUGUGAUUUGACACAGUGAAGGGCUGAAGGUCUUGCUUAUGGCAUUAUAAAACUUUUCUGGAAUGAUUCCUAUCAUUUUGGCAGAUAGAUGUCUGAAAAGGGACUGCAUUUGAGUGACAAUGUGUCUUGCCAUUAAAUUUUCUAACUGUACAGGAGUUACGUGUUAUUUGGCAGCAACUUUAAUAGUCUUGAGCAUGUGACACUGCUCUAGCAAAGAAUAAAUAUAAUACAGUUUGACA
rnacentral:lncRNA from 1 species